GAUAAACGCUGGCGGCGUGCUUUAUGCAUGCAAGUCGAACGGUCUCGAUUUAUCGGGACAGUGGCAGAUGGGUGAGUAAUACAUAAGUAACCUGCCCCUAAGUAUGGAAUAACUCUGAGAAAUUAGAGCUAAUACCGUAUGUGGUCCUUUACUCAAUGGUGAAGGAUUAAAGCCCUUCGCAAGAAGGGCGCUUGGGGAGGGGCUUGUGUCCGAUUAGCUAGUUGGUGGAGUAAUGGUUCACCAAGGCAAAGAUCGGUAGCUGGUCUGAGAGGAUGGUCAGCCACACUGGGACUGAGACACGGCCCAGACUCCUACGGGAGGCAGCAGCAAGGAAUAUUGUGCAAUGGGCGAAAGCCUGACACAGCGACGCCGCGUGAAGGAUGAAGGCCUUCGGGUUGUAAACUUCUUUUCUCAGGGAGGAAUAAUGACAGUACCUGAGGAAUAAGCCACAGCUAACUACGUGCCAGCCGCCGCAGUAAAAC
rnacentral:rRNA from 1 species